rnacentral:rRNA from 1 species
AUUGAACGCUGGCGGCAUGCCUUACACAUGCAAGUCGAACGGCAGCACGGGCUUCGGCCUCGCGGCGCGUUGCCGACGGGUGGGUAAUUCAUCGGAACAUACCCAGCAGUUGGGGCUAGGCCGACUACGGCCGGAUUAAUACCGCAUACGACCUUAUGGUGAACGGGGGGGACCGAAAGGCCUCGCGCGAUUUGAGCUGCCGAUGUCGGAUUAGCUAGUUGGUGGGGUAAAGGCUUACCAAGGCGACGAUCCGUAGCUGGUCUGAGAGGACGACCAGCCACACUGGAACUGAGACACGGUCCAGACUCCUACGGGAGGCAGCAGUGGGGAAUUUUGGACAAAGGGGGCAACCCUGAUCCAGCCAUGCCGCGUGCGGGAAGAAGGCCUUCGGGUUGUAAACCGCUUUUGUUCGGGAAGAAAACCUCUGGGCUAAUACCCCGGGGGGAUGACGGUACCGGAAGAAUAAGCACCGGCUAACUACGUG